GGAAUUGGAUAGUGAUAAUUCUUCUUGGACUAGCUCUCCUGCAAAGAGACAGAAAACAGUGUGUGCAAAUGUAAGUUUACCUACACCUGAUAUUUGCUCUAUUUAAUAAAUCAAUUGCAGCUGCCCAUCUGUAUGAAGUGCUACCAUGCCAUUCCUACAAAAGUAUUAAGAACAACUUAAACUCCUGGUGUUGCAUUCUUAGUUUCAAGUAACUUAUUCUAUAGGAAACUUUAUGGAGGUUCCUGGAUUAUAUUAAGUCUGCAAUAUUGUUUGGAUAAGUAUAUAUUGUUUAGAGGGCUAAGAAGGUAGAAUCGUGCAUGUUAACUCGUUUGGCAAGUGUACCAAAUGUCCAAGUAAUAAAGUCUCGGAAGUCCGAGUGUCGAAUUCCACAGGGAUUUUGUGUUGUAUUUAUCUUGGAUACUUUUCAACUUAUAAGGAAAAAAUAAAAUUAAAGAGAGGGGUAAAAGAAAGAAUAGGAAAUGAUAAGAGUGAAUUAUAAGUAAUAAAAGCAAGAGAAUUAAAAACAGAUACUUAAGAAGGAAAUUCAAUGAAAUGCAAGUGUUAGGACCUAGCAUGCCUUUUCUGCCUAGGAUGUAUAUGUUUAUGAUUUUUCUUUAUCAAUUCAAUUGGAUCUAUUCUAUCCACAUCUAUUCAGUUACUCGCUCCUGAUUCCUCACGAUGAAAAGCCUAUUUUAUUUAUCUAUCUCCCAAAUCCCUUUGAAAAGAUUCAACAAAUAAAAUGCAUGAAGUCUAAAUUCUAGAUGUUCACAUAAAUGCAUGGGCAUAAAACUAUCAUUCGAUGUCUAGUAAUGAUUUUCUUAUGAAAUCUUUUCUUGUUGUUCUAUUAGAAGUUAUCAUCUUCCGAGUGUCUAACCCCUAAAACUUAUUUUGAAGUUAUCCUUCCCCGAGUGUCAAACCCCUAAAAGAAUGUAAAGAUGAAAAUGCAAGAUAAAAAUAGAAAAGAUAAUAGAAUAGAAAAACCUGAAAAAGGAUUCCUGUUGCAUUGAUAAAUAUGAGAAGUACACCAUACAUCGCUUUGGCUUUUUAGGUCUGCCAGGCCUUAACUAGGUUUUUAGUCACUCAUGGUCAUUGAGGGCUUUAGAAUGAGAGGGAGUGAAAGAAAGGAAUAAAGAUGAUAAAAGAAAGGAGAAGAGUUCUCAGGCUUUAAGUAUUUAAGUAGUAGUGAGAGUGCUCUGAGACUCGGUGUGUCGUUUCCCCGUGGCCUGGCUCUCACUAUUUAUAGUUGCUGAAGUGGGCUUUGGGCUUUCGUAGACUCGCUUAGCGCGACAUCUCUCGCUUAGCGCGUGCUGCUUCUGUUGGAUCGCGCGCUUAGCGCAUGUUGUACGCUUAGCGAGUCCUGUUUUUGUUGCGCGCGCUUAGCGCAUGUAACGCGUUGAGUGCGAGUUCUGACUCUCGUGCUUAACGCCCUCGCUUAGCGUCUGUGUCUUCUAUCUCGCUUAGCACAAGCUGCGCGCUGAGUGAGACGCUGGGCUGGGCCUUUCCUGAUUUCUUCUUUUUUUCUUCAUUAUUUCUCACUUUUCGUUGUUAGCACCUCCAGUUUUUAUAUUUGUAGCCAAAAUUCAACGAAACAUCAAUUCUUUAACAUUUAAGCGCAAAUAACUGUUAAAUAAUUAUUUUUAAAGACAAUUUUGUUUUAUUUUCUAUUAUCAAAGCACAAUUAUUUAGCAAUUAUCAGUGCAUUUACUUUACGUUUUAUUUUCUUUGUGAUGACUCUCCAAAUAAUGGUCCGGAUGAAAACCUAUGACAAUUACUUGCUCAUAAUCUAGGCCUAACCUAACGAAGCAUCUCACACCAAAUUCAACAGGGGCAAUAUGGAAACAUAAAAUACCAUCAUUUCCCUUGAUUAUAAUUGUUAAUUAUUUUCAGUUGAAUAUAUUUUGUGUAAAGCUUUAUUUCUGUGUCGGAUUAUGGUGUUUCAGGGUGAGGAUGAUGAUAGAUUGAAUGCUCAUAGUCAGACUUCUGAUCAGCCGCUGGCACGACCUUACUUAUGCACUGGUUAUGAUAUAUAUCUUGUUUGGGAACCAUGCGCAAUGUAAGCUUAUAGAGUAUAUAGUUCUAUAGCUUUGAAUCAUUUCUGUCUUUGCUGAGUUCCUUUGAAGUCUAAAUAGGUCUUGUCUACUCAUCUAUGAAGGGAAUAUGAAGAUAAGAGGCUGCCAAUAGCAUUCUGAUUCUUUCUUUUUUAAUGCCAUGCAAAUUUGAAGGGAAUUCCUUUCUUCUUGAUUCUUAGAAUAGGAGAAAUCCUUGAAAUCUGAUUCUCCUUUAAUAUGAAGUUUCACUUUCAGAUAGUUAACCUUUUCCAAAGUAGUUGUUUUCUGAUAAAUUUGCCUUCCACUGUGAUGUCAGGUGUGCAAUGGCCCUUGUCCAUCAGAGAAUUAGGCGAAUAUUUUAUGCUUUUCCAAAUCCUAAUGCCGGUGCCUUGGGUAGUGUUCACAGAUUACAAGGAGAGAAAAGCUUAAAUCAUCAUUAUGCUGUUUUCAGGGUUUUGUUACCUGAAGAAGCCCUGCAUAAGUGUCAUACUUAAGUUGCAGAGACUAUUUACUAGCGAGUUUUGAAUGUUUGGUAAUAUGCUAAUUGUUAGAACGGCAUUCUGAUAUUACUUGCUUUCCUCUAGAUUUUUAUGUCGGUUUUGCGAUAUAUUUUUCGUCGGUCAAGGAAGACAUGGUUAGAUUGGCCCUUUGUACCAUUAUAGCUAUGUAUUCGAAUUUUGAUUAUGUUUAAACUAAUUACCAAUCUAAUACAUUCUCUGAAAAUUUUGUUAUGCUGUAAAUUUUGCGAAUGUAGUUAUUCUUCUAAAUUCUAAUCGAGUAUUAUUGACAAGGACGGACAAAAUUAUACUUGUCACAAAAAUAACUUUUUAUCCUACAGGGUACAGGUAAUGUUCAGUGCAGCUUAUUGAAACAGCUUUUGAAAUUGAUGGGUUAUUUUAGAUUUAUUUUCAUAAAAUAAACUAAUAAAAAACAACUCUUUCAAAAGCUAAAAAAAAAUUAAAUGGUAAUUUUUUUAAUAAUAAUUCUGACUAAUUAUUUUUUUUUGGUAACUAAAGAAAACAAUAGAAAAAUUGCAGAAAAAAGAAAAUUACACCUUUGGUAUAAUAGAAACUGAUGUUUUUUUAGUACAGCGGUGAUGAUAAAGUGUAAACUUGUUAUCUUAUAUGAAAUUUUCAGAUUUUUAAUUAACUCAAUUCUAACAGCUUAUUUUGAGUUUGAGUUUGUUAAUAUGGUUUGACUUAUUAUAACCUGUAAUUAUGUCAGGAUAUCUAUUUGACAUGAUCAUUUCAUUAUUUAAAAAUGUUUAUUUCAAAGUUUUGUAAAAUGAACUUAAAAGUAUGAAACUGCAUCUUCAACCACAAUUUUUAUGGGGCUUUUAAGCACAAUGACGAAUUUUUAUUAGUUUAUGAUUGGAUGAGACUAAAUUUGAAGUCAUGAUGGGGUAAGAACAGCUUCUAAAUUAAUAAGAAUUGGUUCUUAAUACUAAAAUAUUCUUUAGUAAACAUAUAAAGAUAUAUAAUAUGCGAAAUUCAUUUUCAGUUUUUUAAAAAAUUUAACAUUGAAAUAAAAAAAUGUUGAAGUUCUUAAUUUUGAUGUAAGACUCAUCAAAAGUGAGUUCAGAACUAAAUUGAAAUUAAACUAUUAAAAACACCACUGUCACUUUAACACAAAUUGAAAAGGUGAAAAAAUAAAUUAAAUCCAAAAUAUGUCUUUAAUUAAAGACUUAAUUAUUAAUUUGAUAUUCAAGAUUCAAUCUAGUCUCUAAAUUUUUAAAAGAUUUAAUUUGAAUCCUAAAUUUUUCAAAACUCCAUCAAUUAAGUCUUUUCGGUCAAUUGAAGCUGACGGUAAGGGUUUUCCUUUGCAAAUAAUAGCCGUUAUAGCCGACACUAUAUUUACCAAAAAAAAAAAAUAAUAAUCUGGAAACGCAAACCUCGAGCGCCUGGGCCUCCAUCGUCGCCGUCAGCAUCAACAACGCUGCUUACUACCUCGCCGCCUUCAACUGGCUCUUCUCCGUCCCCAACGUCUCAUGCUUCGAAGCUAAACACGAGACACGUUACCACACUCUCGACCUUCUCUUUGUCCCUCUCUUGUUCUACUUCGCUUCUCAUUACUCCCUCAUUCUCUCUUACCCUGCUUCCUUCUGCCACCAGCUUCUACUCUUCUUCAUUCCUUUCCUCUUUCAGCUUUAUACGACCAGCUCCACAGCUUUCGUGUCGUCAACAUACUCAACAUGCUCACAGAUCUUGGAAGAGGGGAGCAUGGCUGCGAUGGUUGGACGAUGGCUAUGGAAGGGUUUCCUUUUCCAGAUUCAAUUUUAAAUUCUCAAACAGUCAUAGUGACAGCUAUAAAAACCCUUAUUAUUUUUUUUAAAAAAAUACCCAAAUCUAUAUAAUGCUAACAAACAUGGACCACAUUAAAUAUUUUAAAAUAAUUUGUAC
rnacentral:lncRNA from 1 species